UGGCCCUAGCCUAACACUGCAAACCCCUGGCCCUUAGGUCAGCGGCUAACAACUCAGGACAGCAGGUCUUAGUGACUGAGGCUGUUUUAGUCAAAGGCCAAGGCUGCUUCCCUGGGUGAGCGAGAAGGCUGAGUUUGGAAAGGCUCUCUCACAGCAUUCCUUGCCUCUUCAGCUGACAACUGGUUUCUUCAGCCAAGAACUCAAGAGUGUGAAAUUUAUUAUUUGAGCCCUUGUCUGUCUCCCCGGAGUUUGUCACCUCGACACACCCAUUCUGGGCUCUCUCAAUCCUACCCAUUCCCGGGAAAGCUAGCGACCCUAAGCUGCUGAAAUCCCAAACCCAGGGGGUUGUUUCCUACUCCGGACCUCCCCCAGCGCACGGGCCGUCGGAGAGAGUAGACGGCCCAGCGCUGGAGCUACCGGCUUCUCGCCCCAGGAGGGUAGUGCUCACAAGAGCGCGCGUACCGAGCGCCGGGGAGAGACUUUGGAACCACCCUCUCCAGGCUGCGGGGCGCCCUCCUCGGUGUCCGACCCCCGCCUCUCUAGCUUAGCACUUCGUCCGCCUCGCAGUAACUCCCGGGAUCAGGGUUGCCGCGCCGUUCCUCGAGAUCAGCCCACAUGCUAGUGCCGUCCCCUCCGCGCAUCAGGACGUGAUAGGUGAAGAAGUAGAUGCCCGGGAUGGAGCAGGUGAAUUUGCCGGUAGUGGGAUCGUAGUGGUUUCCGAGGUUGGUGACCACGUCGUCGAACUUGAGCACCUCAUAGCCUUCAUGCUGCCGUUUGAGGCCAGCGUAGAAGGCAAUCUUGGGCACCGUGCUGUAGGUGGCGGCGCUGAUGGCCCCGGCCGCGUUCAGGCCGGGCGCCCCAGGCGGGCCCGGCAGGCCUUGGCGGCCCGGCUCGCCCUUCUCGCCCGGGGGCCCCACAGGGCCCGGCGGCCCGGGCUCUCCUGGGGGCCCACGCGGGCCUGCUUUUCCCGGUCUGCCGGCCUCGCCUUUGGGGCCCUGGAUGAAGGUGGGCAGGGACUGCAUGAGGCCACGGUCGGGCGUGGCGGCGGUGCUGGGCGCCUUGGUGCCCCCGUAGGGGUCGCAGACCAUGCGGCAGGUGCCCAGCAUCUCGUAGUGCGCCGACGUGCCGGCCGAGCUCACCAGCACCGGGAUGAGGAUGACCAGCAGCAGCACCAUCACCACCCCCAGCGCCCCGGCGGCGAUCAGGCGCCUCCUGCUGCCCACCAGCCGGCUCAGCGCGGGGCGAUCCUCUUGUCUGCUUUUGGACAAAAUUUUGAAGGUUGGGCGGGGACCUCCUUAGAGCCGAAAACAAUCCCCUUCGAACCCCAAGUCCCCUGGGCGGGCGGGCGCCGGCCGCUCCUCGCCGGCUCCUGCUCCCCCAGCUGAGGUUGCGGCUGGGGAGGGAGCUCGGGCGCCAAGUGACUUGAGCUGAAGUCCCGAGCAGAGGGUGGGGGCUGGGGGAGGGGUGCGCAGGGCGCCCUCUCUCCUCCUGCGAGCCCCUUAGCACCUGUGGCUGGCGCGGGCGCCGGCGCGGCCACCCGGAGGGCAGAGCCAGCCGCUGCCUCUCGCGCUGGUCCUGGUCGCUCACACUUUUAUGCCACCGCUGCCUGCGAUCGACUUUUCCGUUUUUGCAGACUGCGCCAGUUCGCACCAACUUUCCGUCUGAAGUUGCCUUUUUCUGCCUCCUCCUUCUCUUCUUUCUCUCGGUCUCUUCGCUCGUCCCCUGCCUUUACCCCCCUCCUCUGCAGCCACCACAACUCUAAUAGAAGCGCACCUCAAAGUCCUGCGCUGGCAGCACGAGCUCUGACCAGGGCCCCCCGGGUGCGCGGAGCGGCGGCGGCGGCUGGCACUGUCGGCUCCGCGAGCCUCGGGGCUGGAGUGGAGGAGCUAGCGAGCAGCGGCGAGCGCCUCACGGCCGAGAGCGGAGCGAGAGAGAGACUGAACGCUGAAUUCUGCCUGGGUACCACCUGCCAGGAGAAGAGGAGGCUGACAAACGCGCGCCGGAGCAAUUUAUAGGCACCCAAGGCACAGAGGAAGGGGAGCCGCUUUGGCAUCUCAUUGCAGCAUCUGCUCUGCUCAUCCCACUCAGAGAGAGUUUGGCAUUACUCUGACAAUGUGGGAUUUUUUUUUUUUCGGCCUGUCUUUUUUUUCCCCUCUCUGCACAUGGAUGAACAGUGAGAUCCUGAAUACUCCCUUGCUGAACCCAGGCGAUGGCAGUGCUCUCGCUGGACAUACUUGGGGGAGGGAGACAGCUGUGCAACAGCUUUCAGGAUUCAAGGGUCACACCUAAGUCCUCUAUGUCCCCACUGCUGGCAGCCUCAGUUGGAGGGUGGAGGUGAAGGUUGAAAGGAGGGUGGCUUGCUUGACAGUAUUUCUCUGCUGGCUCACCCACAGUCAGCUCUUUCAGGUGUUUUUCAAAAUACCACUUUUAACAUAAGGAAAGCCCUGUAGAAUUUUCCAGAUGGUACAUAUGAUAUUUUUUAACCUUAUGAUUUUUCUCCCCUGCCUUCUAAAUGAAAUUAGAUGUUAACCCUGUGAACAGUGAGAUGGGCUAAAAAAACCAAAAGACAUUUCUCAAUGAUUUUAAAUGGACACGUCCACUGCAUAAAGAAGGUGGGGGGGCGGUAUUGGUUCUUUUUACAAGUGCUGCACAAUGGGGAAAGUAUACAUAUGUACUUGACUUAUAGGCUUACAAUUCUAGCAGCCUUUCAGAAGAUAUUGUCAUUGGACCUGAAGUCGCAUUUGCUUAAAGGUGCUACAUGUGUGAGAAAUAAUCACUUGUCAAAAUACCUUCAAAAGUCUUAUGAUAAAGCAAGCAGAGCCCACACAAGUGCUAGGCCAGGUCUUUUCCUAAGAUAUGGAAGAGUUCUACAUGUCCCAUAGCAGAUUUCCUAAAUGCACCUUGGGGGAGAGACAAAUAGGAAAAAUAUGACAAAAGUCCCCAUUCACAUUGGGAGAGCAGGAGAGGAAAUAGCCUGGAUUUCAAAUAUUAAUAGAAAGCCCUUAGAGUAGAUAUUAGGUGAGUUACCCCACCAACAAAUAUAUAACAAGAACAGCUUUAAAUAAAUAAGUAGAAUUGAUUCCUAAAUCACACUUCUGCAUUCAGGAGCAAUGAAUGUCAAUCAAACAUGGAUGACAUUUGCUUGUCAAUAUGGGAUGAUGGCUGGGAAGAUGUUCACUUAUUACAUCAAGGCAGGAAUCUGAAAUGAGAAGCGGGAACAAAUAAGGCCACAGCAAGCAAACAAUAACAUCCCGUGUGACCAUAAGCAGCCUGUGAUCUUGUCUGCAGGCUCCACAAUGCAGACAUCUCCUUGGGGCUUCCUCAAUCCCCUUCACCCACCUCACCUCUCACCCUACCUCACCCCAACAGUUUACUCCUUUCUUACAUUCUUCUCUGAUUCAAAACAAAAUAAGGUCAAAUGAGAGACUCAAGGAAAUAAAGAUUCAUUGAUUCUGUUAAGAGGACCCUCAGCAGCUCUUUAAGGUCUUUGUAGGAGAAUCAACUCAAAGGAGUUGGGCUGUGCUGCUCAGCAUGGCCCAGGUAUCCACAUUAUCUGUCCAUCCCACCUGGAUGCUGACAAACCUGGUACCAGAAAAAUAGCCCUUCCCACUUCUCAAAAUUUGAAUUUUUAUUUUAGGAUGGUGGUUUUAUAAAUGUACAUCCAUAACCCAUAACUUGGGUAUAAUUUAUAUAUUUUUUUCUGUAAAUUUCUUUUUUGCAUGAGCUGUCUUAUUUUUAUGUUUUUAAGCAGCAAACAUGUAAUGAGUUCUCUCCUGGCCACAAUAUGUACUUUCCUAACACACCUUCUGGGUUUGCUUCUCAAAGUCACUUUUAGGAGGAAAAACUGGCGAGAUAUGGUACCAGCAAUGGAGGGUAAUGUGUUGAUAAAAUAAACUAUUCUCUGGUGUCCCAGAUUAUCAAAAUUCCUAAGAUCCCCUUAGCCUAAGGAGAAUUUGGUGAGGGAUUAAAAAGGAGUUUUUAAAAUGUAGAGGUAUAUAAAUAAAUUCUCAUCCCAAACUUCAAAAAUGUUUAUAUGGAGGAACCCAUCAAAGAUGACAUGAAAUAUGAGAGUUGGAACAGAUUCUGAAAAGUUAAUCUUUAUUUUGCUCAUGCAGAGGAGACAACUGAAAGGGGGGGGAGCGCUAUGAGUAGAAUCACUGCCAUCCAAUGGGCUGCCAGGGACACCUCUCUACACAAUACUAGAAUACUCCAUGGCAACCUGAGAUUGAUGGUAAUAGUCCUAAUAACUGAGGUUUUUCUCCUUCCAUUUUCUCUGAUGCCAAAGCAAAGAUUUAUUUUGCAAGUGAAUGCCUUCACAUCUCAAAUUCUUCUGAUAUUUGGAAAGUUUCUCACUAUUCCUUAUUCAUAACGAAGGUGUCCUCUCCCAGGCCCUAUAGCUAACCCUAGACUUUCGGUCAAGUGGCAAUCAAGGGUAGCACAUGGGCAUUUGACUUUUGAGUGAAGUCAAUUUGAGUUAUUGUCUCCUUCCUGUCUAGAUAUAUUCCAUGCAUUUGGGGGGAAACUCUUUUUUGAUUCCCCCAAGAUUUUCAGGGAUGAUUUGGUAGUAGAUGGAGGUCUGACUGGUUACUGCCACUUUAUGUUGCAUGGAUUUCGCAGAAGCUUCUCUGGAAAGUUACUCAUGCUUCAGCGCUUGAUUGACAAUUUGAAUAAACCAUCUGAUAUGGCA